UGACAGCUGUCCCGACUGUCACAAGCAGACACUGUUGGUAAUGGUUUUUUGUUUUCCCUUAAUAUUACUUUAUAUAUUGAGUAGUUUAGAUUUUUAUCUUUAAAUUUGUUUUCAUUAGUCUGACUCUUUAGUUAACUAUUUGUUGUGCACCCAUUUAGUUAACUUUAUGUGUCAGUUCUUUGUAUAUUUUGUUAAAUACAACAAAUUAAUUAUUUUUCUUUUGAGUUACCAGUUUCCUCUGGACCUGUGGCUGAAAAUCAGAGAUGAGCUCCAGCUGAUUGGUGUCCAUAUAUGGUUGUCAAACUUCCUCAGCGGACCAUUCCAUUUGUUCACCAGGGGAGGGGGAAAUUUGGUCUUUAGUUUAAUUUUACCAUUUAUUUAAUGUUUCUUCUUUUGGAAAGUUAGUUAAAUUCUGAUAUUUAUUUCAUUUAUAGAUUUAGUAAUAUUCUGACCAAUAUUUGUUAGGUUUUUGUGUGUUUAAUUACCCCCUAGUGUGUGUUAAUGGUCUGAUCAGCCAUUAUUUAAGUUCCCCUCAUGUGUUGUUUGUUAGGUCAGUUUGUGCUUGAGUUUGUUCUGUUACCACCUGAGUUGUACUUUGUUAUGUUGACCUCAGUUUGGGCCCAAUUUAUCAUUUUUGGAUUCUUUUUGUUAAUAAAUUAAGAUUAAAUUUUGAAUUUUCAUCAACGUCUCGCUGGCUGGUUCAUGCAAAACCCUCACACUUGGUGUCAGGAAUGGGAUUUUACCAGCCAGGAGUACAAAGUUUUUUUUCCAUUACCAACCUUGAAGCAACAUGCAGCGUGGAGGAAGGAGUAAACGAGGCAAUUUUGUGGAGUCUCAAGGAACAGCAGGCCCUGAUGAGCCGACUGAUUGCACCGAAGCAGGAGCAUCUGGAGGACAUGUAGGCACUGAGGAGGAAGGGGGAGUAGAACCAACUUACGCAGAUCUGGUCAGUAUUCUUCGUGCCCACAUGAGCCAGCAGGAGGCACAGAAUAGAAUGAUGAGAGAGGAAACAGCUCGCCAAGAUCAACGGUUCAAGACUCUCCAGCACCAAUUUAGUCUUUUGCAGUUAGAAGUGCAAGCUCGUACUUCUCCAACAUCUGAACCUGCUAAGCUGGAAAACUCUGACUCGGAGGAACCAGAACCACAGGAUAAAAACCUGCUGCCAGGAGACCGUAAAGUCAUCUUAACUUCAGGUCAGUUUGUGCUUGAGUUUGUUCUGUUACCACCUGAGUUGUACUUUGUUAUGUUGACCUCAGUUUGGGCCCAAUUUAUCAUUUUUGGAUUCUUUUUGUUAAUAAAUUAAGAUUAUAUUUUGAAUUUUCA